rnacentral:rRNA from 1 species
CACGUAGGGGGCGAGCGUUGUCCGGAUUUAUUGGGCGUAAAGAGCUCGUAGGCGGCUCGGUAAGUCAGGUGUGAAAACUCUAGGCUCAACCUAGAGACGCCACCUGAUACUGCCGUGGCUAGAGUCCGGUAGGGGAGCAUGGAAUUCCUGGUGUAGCGGUGAAAUGCGCAGAUAUCAGGAGGAACACCAGUGGCGAAGGCGGCUUCCUGGCCUGUUCUUGACGCUGAGGCGCGAAAGCUAGGGGAGCAAACGGG